GAUGAACGCUGGCGGCGUGCCUAAUACAUGCAAGUCGAGUGAACAGACGAUGAGCUUGCUCCUCUGACGUUAGCGGCGCGCGUGUGAGUAACACGUGUAUAACCUACCUAUAAGUCUGGUAUAACUUCGGGAAACCGGAUCUUAUACCGUAUAAUAUAUUGAUCCGCAUUGUUCAAUAGUGAAUUACGGUUUUUCUGUCUCUUAUAGAUGGAUCUCGGCCGCAUUAGCUAGUUGUUAAGUUAACGGCUUAUCAAGGCAACGAUGCGUAGACGAACGGAGAGGGGGAUAGGCCACAUUGGAACUGAGACAGGGACAAGAGGACUAAGGGAGGCCGCAGACGGGAACGUUACGCAAUGGGGGAGAGCAUGACGGAGCAACCGCGAGUGAGUGACGAAGGUCUUGGGAUCGUAAAAAUCUGUUACUAGGGAAGAACAAAUGUGUAAGUAAAUAUGCACGUAUUGACGGUAACUAAUAAGAAAGCAACGGCUAACUACGUG
rnacentral:rRNA from 1 species